ACUGUGGACGGGGUCCCUGGGCUUUCCCCUAGGGUCCCAUCAGCUGCUUAUGUUCUACCUUCUGACGGAUCACAGGAGGAGCCUGCAGCGGAGGAGCCUCCUCCUCCUCAGCAUCAGACCUAAAGGGAGUGUCCUGCCUGAAGGACCGGCUCAAGGUCGCACUAACAGCUCUUGCUAACUCCUGUUCCAGGCUGUUUAUCUGGGCCUCCAAGUACCCUGCUUGCGCCUGGAGGUCUCUCACCCCCAGGUCCUGCUCAAAGCUGUGCACUUGGGCCCCCAGGCAUGCGGCUUGCUCCGGAAGGUCCCUUACCUGUGGCACUGAGCAUGUACUUCCUGCAGUGCAGUUAGAAAUGCCCAUCCGACUCUGCUUGCAAAGACAUCUGCAAUGGCAGUUCACAUGGCUCAGAUAGCUCACUUCUGCAGAGAGCUGAAUUUAAGUGGGACAGGGUAGCAAGAAUAAUUACUUUGACAAUCAUUUUGCCACCUGAUGACUGUGCUGCCUGUCCUGAGCUGAGUUCCUUUAUUUAUAGGCACAGCUGCUUAAAGACUGUUACCGGAAAGGAAUCCUGAUCCAGACGCCAAGAGAGGGUUCUUGGACUCAUGCAAGAAAGACUUCAGAAUACGAGUUUUGAAUUUUUGAAUUGCUGUUAAAACUUUCAUCAUGAACACUGAAGUGAGUGAAAAGAGACUUUUGCAGUCAUUUUUUUGCUGGCUGCAGAUGACAGUGACACCCUGGGAGUUGAGAAAUGCUUGUAAGAUGGAAGGAGGCUGUGUCC
ensembl:lncRNA novel transcript